CCUACGGGGGGCAGCAGUGGGGAAUAUUGGACAAUGGGCGAAAGCCUGAUCCAGCCAUGCCGCGUGUGUGAAGAAGGCCUUUGGGUUGUAAAGCACUUUCAGUGGGGAAGAAAGCCUUGGGGCUAAUCCCCUCGAGGAAGGACAUCACCCACAGAAGAAGCACCGGCUAACUCCGUGCCAGCAGCCGCGGUAAUACGGAGGGUGCGAGCGUUAAUCGGAAUUACUGGGCGUAAAGCGCGCGUAGGCGGUCUGAUAAGCCGGUUGUGAAAGCCCCGGGCUCAACCUGGGAACGGCAUCCGGAACUGUCAGGCUAGAGUGCAGGAGAGGAAGGUAGAAUUCCCGGUGUAGCGGUGAAAUGCGUAGAGAUCGGGAGGAAUACCAGUGGCGAAGGCGGCCUUCUGGACUGACACUGACGCUGAGGUGCGAAAGCGUGGGUAGCAAACAGGAUUAGAUACCCCUGUAGUC
rnacentral:rRNA from 1 species